UGGAGGAAAGCAGGGGAUCGUAAGACCUUGCGCUUUUGGAGUGGCCGAUGCCUGAUUAGCUAGUUGGUGGGGUAAGAGCCUACCAAGGCGACGAUCAGUAGUUGGCCUGAGAGGACGACCAGCCACACUGGGACUGAGACACGGCCCAGACUCCUACGGGAGGCAGCAGUGGGGAAUUUUGGACAAUGGGCGAAAGCCUGAUCCAGCAAUGCCGCGUGAGUGAAGAAGGCCUUCGGGUUGUAAAGCUCUUUCAGUCGAGAAGAAAAGGUUGCGACUAAUAAUCGCAACUUAUGACGGUAUCGACAGAAGAAGCACCGGCUAACUACGUGCCAGCAGCCGCGGUAAUACGUAGGGUGCGAGCGUUAAUCGGAAUUACUGGGCGUAAAGGGUGCGCAGGCGGCUCUGUAAGUCAGAUGUGA
rnacentral:rRNA from 1 species